GGGUUGUGAGGUUAAGCGACUAAGCGUACACGGUGGAUGCCCUGGCAGUCAGAGGCGAUGAAGGACGUGCUAAUCUGCGAUAAGCGUCGGUAAGGUGAUAUGAACCGUUAUAACCGGCGAUUUCCGAAUGGGGAAACCCAGUGUGAUUCGUCACACUAUCAUUAACUGAAUCCAUAGGUUAAUGAGGCGAACCGGGGGAACUGAAACAUCUAAGUACCCCGAGGAAAAGAAAUCAACCGAGAUUCCCCCAGUAGCGGCGAGCGAACGGGGAGCAGCCCAGAGCCUGAAUCAGUGUGUGUGUUAGUGGAAGCGUCUGGAAAGGCGCGCGAUACAGGGUGACAGCCCCGUACACAAAAAUGCACAUACUGUGAGCUCGAUGAGUAGGGCGGGACACGUGGUAUCCUGUCUGAAUAUGGGGGGACCAUCCUCCAAGGCUAAAUACUCCUGACUGACCGAUAGUGAACCAGUACCGUGAGGGAAAGGCGAAAAGAACCCCGGCGAGGGGAGUGAAAAAGAACCUGAAACCGUGUACGUACAAGCAGUGGGAGCACGCUUAGGCGUGUGACUGCGUACCUUUUGUAUAAUGGGUCAGCGACUUAUAUUCUGUAGCAAGGUUAACCGAAUAGGGGAGCCGAAGGGAAACCGAGUCUUAACUGGGCGUUAAGUUGCAGGGUAUAGACCCGAAACCCGGUGAUCUAGCCAUGGGCAGGUUGAAGGUUGGGUAACACUAACUGGAGGACCGAACCGACUAAUGUUGAAAAAUUAGCGGAUGACUUGUGGCUGGGGGUGAAAGGCCAAUCAAACCGGGAGAUAGCUGGUUCUCCCCGAAAGCUAUUUAGGUAGCGCCUCGUGAAUUCAUCUCCGGGGGUAGAGCACUGUUUCGGCAAGGGGGUCAUCCCGACUUACCAACCCGAUGCAAACUGCGAAUACCGGAGAAUGUUAUCACGGGAGACACACGGCGGGUGCUAACGUCCGUCGUGAAGAGGGAAACAACCCAGACCGCCAGCUAAGGUCCCAAAGUCAUGGUUAAGUGGGAAACGAUGUGGGAAGGCCCAGACAGCCAGGAUGUUGGCUUAGAAGCAGCCAUCAUUUAAAGAAAGCGUAAUAGCUCACUGGUCGAGUCGGCCUGCGCGGAAGAUGUAACGGGGCUAAACCAUGCACCGAAGCUGCGGCAGCGACGCUUAUGCGUUGUUGGGUAGGGGAGCGUUCUGUAAGCCUGCGAAGGUGUGCUGUGAGGCAUGCUGGAGGUAUCAGAAGUGCGAAUGCUGACAUAAGUAACGAUAAAGCGGGUGAAAAGCCCGCUCGCCGGAAGACCAAGGGUUCCUGUCCAACGUUAAUCGGGGCAGGGUGAGUCGACCCCUAAGGCGAGGCCGAAAGGCGUAGUCGAUGGGAAACAGGUUAAUAUUCCUGUACUUGGUGUUACUGCGAAGGGGGGACGGAGAAGGCUAUGUUGGCCGGGCGACGGUUGUCCCGGUUUAAGCGUGUAGGCUGGUUUUCCAGGCAAAUCCGGAAAAUCAAGGCUGAGGCGUGAUGACGAGGCACUACGGUGCUGAAGCAACAAAUGCCCUGCUUCCAGGAAAAGCCUCUAAGCAUCAGGUAACAUCAAAUCGUACCCCAAACCGACACAGGUGGUCAGGUAGAGAAUACCAAGGCGCUUGAGAGAACUCGGGUGAAGGAACUAGGCAAAAUGGUGCCGUAACUUCGGGAGAAGGCACGCUGAUAUGUAGGUGAAGCGACUUGCUCGUGGAGCUGAAAUCAGUCGAAGAUACCAGCUGGCUGCAACUGUUUAUUAAAAACACAGCACUGUGCAAACACGAAAGUGGACGUAUACGGUGUGACGCCUGCCCGGUGCCGGAAGGUUAAUUGAUGGGGUUAGCGCAAGCGAAGCUCUUGAUCGAAGCCCCGGUAAACGGCGGCCGUAACUAUAACGGUCCUAAGGUAGCGAAAUUCCUUGUCGGGUAAGUUCCGACCUGCACGAAUGGCGUAAUGAUGGCCAGGCUGUCUCCACCCGAGACUCAGUGAAAUUGAACUCGCUGUGAAGAUGCAGUGUACCCGCGGCAAGACGGAAAGACCCCGUGAACCUUUACUAUAGCUUGACACUGAACAUUGAGCCUUGAUGUGUAGGAUAGGUGGGAGGCUUUGAAGUGUGGACGCCAGUCUGCAUGGAGCCGACCUUGAAAUACCACCCUUUAAUGUUUGAUGUUCUAACGUUGACCCGUAAUCCGGGUUGCGGACAGUGUCUGGUGGGUAGUUUGACUGGGGCGGUCUCCUCCUAAAGAGUAACGGAGGAGCACGAAGGUUGGCUAAUCCUGGUCGGACAUCAGGAGGUUAGUGCAAUGGCAUAAGCCAGCUUGACUGCGAGCGUGACGGCGCGAGCAGGUGCGAAAGCAGGUCAUAGUGAUCCGGUGGUUCUGAAUGGAAGGGCCAUCGCUCAACGGAUAAAAGGUACUCCGGGGAUAACAGGCUGAUACCGCCCAAGAGUUCAUAUCGACGGCGGUGUUUGGCACCUCGAUGUCGGCUCAUCACAUCCUGGGGCUGAAGUAGGUCCCAAGGGUAUGGCUGUUCGCCAUUUAAAGUGGUACGCGAGCUGGGUUUAGAACGUCGUGAGACAGUUCGGUCCCUAUCUGCCGUGGGCGCUGGAGAACUGAGGGGGGCUGCUCCUAGUACGAGAGGACCGGAGUGGACGCAUCACUGGUGUUCGGGUUGUCAUGCCAAUGGCACUGCCCGGUAGCUAAAUGCGGAAGAGAUAAGUGCUGAAAGCAUCUAAGCACGAAACUUGCCCCGAGAUGAGUUCUCCCUGACUCCUUGAGAGUCCUGAAGGAACGUUGAAGACGACGACGUUGAUAGGCCGGAUGUGUAAGCGCAGCGAUGCGUUGAGCUAACCGGUACUAAUGAACCGUGAGGCUUAACCUUACAACGCCGAAGGUGUUU
rnacentral:rRNA from 1 species